rnacentral:rRNA from 1 species
AGCAGCAGCCGCGGUAAAACGGAGGGUGCAAGCGUUAAUCGGAAUUACUGGGCGUAAAGCGCACGCAGGCGGUCUGACAAGUCAGAUGUGAAAUCCUCGGGCUUAACCUGGGAACUGCAUUUGAAACUGUCAGGCUGGAGUCUUGUAGAGGGGGGUGGAAUUCCAGGUGUAGCGGUGAAAUGCGUAGAGAUCUGGAGGAAUACCGGUGGCGAAGGCGGCCCCCUGGACAAAGACUGACGCUCAGGUGCGAAAGCGUGGGGAGCAAACAGGAUUAGAUACCCCUGUAGUCCCUGUCUCUUAUAC